UACGAAGGUGGCAAGCGUUACUCGGAAUGACUAGGCGUAAAGGGCAGGUAGGCGGUUCGGAAAGUCUGCUGUGAAAGCUCCCGGCUUAACUGGGAGAGGCCAGCAGAAACUUCCGGGCUUGAGUAUGGGAGAGGGUACUGGAAUUCCCGGUGUAGCGGUGAAAUGCGCAGAGAUCGGGAGGAACACCAACGGCGAAAGCAAGUACCUGGACCAUUACUGACGCUCAGCUGCGAAAGCUAGGGGAGCAAACAGG
rnacentral:misc_RNA from 1 species